rnacentral:rRNA from 1 species
AAAAAUGCACAUGCUGUGAGCUCGAUGAGUAGGGCGGGACACGUGGUAUCCUGUCUGAAUAUGGGGGGACCAUCCUCCAAGGCUAAAUACUCCUGACUGACCGAUAGUGAACCAGUACCGUGAGGGAAAGGCGAAAAGAACCCCGGCGAGGGGAGUGAAAAAGAACCUGAAACCGUGUACGUACAAGCAGUGGGAGCCUCUUUUAUGGGGUGACUGCGUACCUUUUGUAUAAUGGGUCAGCGACUUAUAUUCUGUAGCAAGGUUAACCGAAUAGGGGAGCCGAAGGGAAACCGAGUCUUAACUGGGCGUUAAGUUGCAGGGUAUAGACCCGAAACCCGGUGAUCUAGCCAUGGGCAGGUUGAAGGUUGGGUAACACUAACUGGAGGACCGAACCGACUAAUGUUGAAAAAUUAGCGGAUGACUUGUGGCUGGGGGUGAAAGGCCAAUCAAACCGGGAGAUAGCUGGUUCUCCCCGAAAGCUAUUUAGGUAGCGCCUCGUGAAUUCAUCUCCGGGGGUAGAGCACUGUUUCGGCAAGGGGGUCAUCCCGACUUACCAACCCGAUGCAAACUGCGAAUACCGGAGAAUGUUAUCACGGGAGACACACGGCGGGUGCUAACGUCCGUCGUGAAGAGGGAAACAACCCAGACCGCCAGCUAAGGUCCCAAAGUCAUGGUUAAGUGGGAAACGAUGUGGGAAGGCCCAGACAGCCAGGAUGUUGGCUUAGAAGCAGCCAUCAUUUAAAGAAAGCGUAAUAGCUCACUGGUCGAGUCGGCCUGCGCGGAAGAUGUAACGGGGCUAAACCAUGCACCGAAGCUGCGGCAGCGACGCUUAGGCGUUGUUGGGUAGGGGAGCGUUCUGUAAGCCUGCGAAGGUGUGCUGUGAGGCAUGCUGGAGGUAUCAGAAGUGCGAAUGCUGACAUAAGUAACGAUAAAGCGGGUGAAAAGCCCGCUCGCCGGAAGACCAAGGGUUCCUGUCCAACGUUAAUCGGGGCAGGGUGAGUCGACCCCUAAGGCGAGGCCGAAAGGCGUAGUCGAUGGGAAACAGGUUAAUAUUCCUGUACUUGGUGUUACUGCGAAGGGGGGACGGAGAAGGCUAUGUUGGCCGGGCGACGGUUGUCCCGGUUUAAGCGUGUAGGCUGGUUUUCCAGGCAAAUCCGGAAAAUCAAGGCUGAGGCGUGAUGACGAGGCACUACGGUGCUGAAGCAACAAAUGCCCUGCUUCCAGGAAAAGCCUCUAAGCAUCAGGUAACAUCAAAUCGUACCCCAAACCGACACAGGUGGUCAGGUAGAGAAUACCAAGGCGCUUGAGAGAACUCGGGUGAAGGAACUAGGCAAAAUGGUGCCGUAACUUCGGGAGAAGGCACGCUGAUAUGUAGGUGAAGCGACUUGCUCGUGGAGCUGAAAUCAGUCGAAGAUACCAGCUGGCUGCAACUGUUUAUUAAAAACACAGCACUGUGCAAACACGAAAGUGGACGUAUACGGUGUGACGCCUGCCCGGUGCCGGAAGGUUAAUUGAUGGGGUCAGCGCAAGCGAAGCUCUUGAUCGAAGCCCCGGUAAACGGCGGCCGUAACUAUAACGGUCCUAAGGUAGCGAAAUUCCUUGUCGGGUAAGUUCCGACCUGCACGAAUGGCGUAAUGAUGGCCAGGCUGUCUCCACCCGAGACUCAGUGAAAUUGAACUCGCUGUGAAGAUGCAGUGUACCCGCGGCAAGACGGAAAGACCCCGUGAACCUUUACUAUAGCUUGACACUGAACAUUGAGCCUUGAUG